rnacentral:rRNA from 1 species
GAUGAACGCUCGCGGCAGGCCUAACACAUGCAAGUCGAGGGAGGAGCCUUCGGGCUUCGACCGGCGUACGGGUGCGUAACGCGUAUACAAUCUGCCUUUCACAUAGGGAUAGCCCGAAGAAAUUUGGAUUAAUACCUAAUGGUAUAUAGAUGUGGCAUCACCUUUAUAUUAAAGCUGAGGCGGUGAAAGAUGAGUAUGCGUUCUAUUAGCUAGUUGGAGAGGUAACGGCUCCCCAAGGCGACGAUAGAUAGGGGUUCUGAGAGGGAUAUCCCCCACACUGGUACUGAGAUACGGACCAGACUCCUACGGGAGGCAGCAGUGAGGAAUAUUGGACAAUGGUCGGAAGACUGAUCCAGCCAUGCCGCGUGCAGGAAGACGGCCUUAUGGGUUGUAAACUGCUUUUGCAGGGGAAGAAUAAGGACUACGCGUAGUUUGAUGACGGUACUCUGCGAAUAAGCAGCGGCUAACUCCGUG